GAAUGGCCCCAACGACGUGGUUUUCAGUGUCACCACGCAGUACCAAGGCACGUGCCGCUGUGAGGGCACCAUCUAUCUGUGGAACUGGGAUGAUAAGGUCAUCAUUUCUGAUAUUGACGGGACGAUCACCAGAUCAGAUACUCUUGGCCACAUUUUGCCCACCCUUGGGAAGGAUUGGACCCACCAGGGCAUUGCUAAGCUGUACCAUAAAGUGAGCCAGUGAGUACAGAAUUCCUGUUUCCCGCCUCCCACGAACACUGGUGUGUGCAUCGCACUCUGCGUAUGGAAUCUUUCCUGGCCCAGCAUGGGGUGACUUGCAGAGAGGGCUGCACCUCAACCAGAGGGGGGCAGUGGGGGUCAGGGGUGGCAGUGGAGUCCAGAGUGAAAGUGAAUUCCAGCAACUCCAAAUUUGAAUUCAAUACCAAGAAACCAGGAGCGAAGUAUAGGGGAAUUGAUUACUAGGAGAACACAGAUGGUGGCAGUGUUAGGGGUUAGAUUGAAGUUUAGUUCAUCCCGAGGGAUGGCAGAGGUAGCCAGAUGAAGAAAUAGGAGCUUAAAUGUUAUAUAUGCCAAGUGAU
rnacentral:sRNA from 1 species